UGAGGAAUAUUGGUCAAUGGACGAGAGUCUGAACCAGCCAAGUAGCGUGAAGGAUGACUGCCCUAUGGGUUGUAAACUUCUUUUAUAUGGGAAUAAAGUGGUCCACGUGUGGAUUUUUGUAUGUACCAUAUGAAUAAGGAUCGGCUAACUCCGUGCCAGCAGCCGCGGUAAUACGGAGGAUGCGAGCGUUAUCCGGAUUUAUUGGGUUUAAAGGGAGCGUAGACGGGCCGUUAAGUCAGCUGUGAAAGUUUGAGGCUCAACCUUAAAAUUGCAGUUGAUACUGGCGUCCUUGAGUACGGUUGAGGCAGGCGGAAUUCGUGGUGUAGCGGUGAAAUGCUUAGAUAUCACGAAGAACCCCGAUUGCGAAGGCAGCCUGCUAAACCGCCACUGACGUUGAGGCUCGAAAGUGUGGGUAUCAAACAGGAUUAGAUACCCUGGUAGUCCACACGGUAAACGAUGGAUACUCGCUGUUGGCGAUAGACUGUCAGUGGCUUAGCGAAAGCGUUAAGUAUCCCACCUGGGGAGUACGCCGGCAACGGUGAAACUCAAAGGAAUUGACGGGGGCCCGCACAAGCGGAGGAACAUGUGGUUUAAUUCGAUGAUACGCGAGGAACCUUACCCGGGCUUGAAUUGCAGACGAAUUGCUUGGAAACAGGCAAGCCGCAAGGCGUCUGUGAAGGUGCUGCAUGGUUGUCGUCAGCUCGUGCCGUGAGGUGUCGGCUUAAGUGCCAUAACGAGCGCAACCCUCGUGUCCAGUUACUAGCAGGUUAUGCUGAGGACUCUGGACAGACUGCCAUCGUAAGAUGUGAGGAAGGUGGGGAUGACGUCAAAUCAGCACGGCCCUUACGUCCGGGGCUACACACGUGUUACAAUGGGGGGUACAGCAGGCAGCUACCGGGCGACCGGAUGCCAAUCCCGAAAGCCUCUCUCAGUUCGGACUGGAGUCUGCAACCCGACUCCACGAAGCUGGAUUCGCUAGUAAUCGCGCAUCAGCCACGGCGCGGUGAAUACGUUCCC
rnacentral:rRNA from 1 species